CCCGGGUGGGGAGAAGGACCAGUGGAGGGACCCGGUUUACAGGUGAGCAAGGCCACAUGGCUUCCCUACAAGUUGAGAGAAAAUUUUACAUCUGAGAUCCUGUCCCCGGGAGGCAGGUGAAUGACCGGAUGAGGGGACCCACUGAUCAGGGUCAUCUCCGUGAGGAGGCGGUACUGCUGCCAGUCCCGGGUGCUGCGCUUGCUCAGUGGGGUUUGGCCUCUGUGCUCUGGACGUGCGGCAGAUGGACUCUUGGAUCUUCCCGACAUCGCGUCACCUUUGUCGAGUGCCGAGGGCUCUGGGUGGAGGAGUGGCAGGGCCCUCAGGAGAGUGAGUGGCCACAGCCAGGCCUCACCCUUCUCUUUCUUUUUAUUCUCACACAGCUGGGAUUUGUUCAGUCAGCCAGGUGGAGUGAAGCUGUGGGACAGAACCGGGUAGGAGGACAGGCCUGA
rnacentral:lncRNA from 1 species